rnacentral:rRNA from 1 species
AUGAUACUGUGUGCCCAUAAACGGAAGCUGCCAGUUAUUGCCUUGAAACUGGAUUUUCACAAAGCUUUUGAUAGUGUUAGUUGGCAUUGCUGGGAUCAAGUGCUCAAGGCCCGGGGUUUUCCAUCAUCAUGGAAUCGGUGGGUUCGUUCUAUCCUUUCCACUGGGCGCUCUCGAGUUCUGAUCAAUGGUGAGCUGGGUGAUCCCAUCCUUGCCAAGAGAGGGUUCAGGCAAGGUGACUCCCUAUCCCCGUACCUCUUCAUCAUGGUUGCGGACGUGCUAUAGAGGCUA